rnacentral:pre_miRNA from 1 species
UAUGUACUUCCUUCGUCUUAAAUUUUUGUCUUUGAUUUGUCCAGAUAUAAAUGUAUUUAGUCAUGUAUUAAUAUUUUGAUACAUCCAAUUUUAGAAAAUCCUAAGACAAUAAUUUUAAGACGGAGGAAGUAUUAU